UGAGACGGAAAAUUUUCUUGCGCCCACCGGCGCCUGCCAGCCUGCAUGGAAGAGCAGUGACAGAGAUGCAGUGACCCAGACUGCAGCACAGGCCUGUCUGGUGACGCUCCCAACUUCAAGGACUAGGUAGGCAACAGAGAUGGCCCCCAUCCCCCUGCUGCCUCUCCAAUUCCUCUGUGUCUCUGAGGCACGGUGUGGUGGUGGGUAAGAGAAAGAAAGAGGAUGUUAUUUUGGUUUUGCAGAGGGCGUCUUACGGAAGGCUUCUGUGAGUGGGCAUCUGAACGGAGGCAGGGACAAGAUACACAAAUGUCUGGGGGACCAGCUCUCCAGGCAAAGGCCCUUAGGUGGGAACAGGCUUGUGGGCACGAGUGGAGGAGGGGUGAGGGUAGCAGAAGAGAGCUCGGAGGGUAGCAGAUCCCGCUCAGCUGUGUUAGUAAGACUUGGGGCCAGGCGCGGUGGCUCACGCCUGUAAUCCCAACACUUUGGGAGGCCGAGGCAGGCGGAUCACGAGGUCAGGAGACCGAGACCAUCCUGGCUAACACGGUGAAACCCCGUCUCUACUAAAAAUACAAAAAAUUAGCCGGGCGUGGUGGCGGGCGCCUGUAGUCCCAGCUACUCAGGAGGAAAUAAUGGGGACAAUGAUGGUGACAGCCAGUAGCAUUUACUACACAUCAGGAACCACGCGAAAUGCUUGACAAUCACAAUCACUUUUCACUCGAGUUAUCUAAUCUAGUUAUCUAACCAUCACCAUCACCACAAACUAAUUUAAU
rnacentral:antisense_RNA from 1 species